rnacentral:misc_RNA from 1 species
AUUAUAAGGCGCUUUUGUGGAUAAUCUGAUUGCUUGAGGUCAUCUAGCAGCAACCUUGAAAGAAGGAAAUGUCCGAGAUGGUUGGUGCCCACACUAAGCUCAAAUCCAUCAGCCGUAAAAGUUGGCUCUUUAGCAGUUGGCAAGUACACUGCAGCAUUGCAUACUAGCGCAUCAAGUGGCCUCCCUGAACGUCGGAAAUUAUCUACAAAUUGGCGGACACUUUCAAGGGAAGCGAGAUCCAGAUGCAUGACAGUGUAAUUUUCCUUCGGAAUGCCAAGUGAUUUUGCUGCUUUUUCAGCCUUGAGGAAGUCCCUACAGGCCAUUAUAACGUGCCAGUCUCCUGACUCGCCUAUAGCCUUUGCUGUAGCUAGUCCUAAACCAGAGGAGGCUCCGGUGAUUAUCACAUUGCCUUUCCUGAGUGUUUUCUUCUGUCCUGAGGUAGACUGGGUGAUUGCAGGAGUGGUAGCAGCUGUUUGUGCUCUAAUAGGUACAAUCGCUAAUUUCCUUGUCAAUUCCUUGUUUCCUGCAGCAGGAGUAAAUUUAGAUUUCAGAUUGCAAGACAAUGCAACUCCAAAGAAGCUACUGUCCUUGAGAUUAGCACUUGAUGUUUUACCCUCUUUGUGUAGAGAAAAUGCAGAUGGAAGCAAAGAUGCUGCUUGUAGAGCCAUUUUGCACCUAAUGAUUUUUUCACUCAACUCUUUGUUACAACACUCUGCUUAAGAAGGUGUGGUUGGGGGUUUGGGGUGGGGGGUUCUG